ensembl:lincRNA Snhg6 small nucleolar RNA host gene 6
CGUAGAGCGCGAGCAGAUGGUGCAGCAUGGCGCACAGCGGAGGCCGCGGGCGGCCGAACCCGGCGUGUCCUUGGGCUCUUCCAGGUGCAACAAAACCUGUCUCAUUUGAAGGUGCUUGAACAAAUAUUUUCUAAACACUUGUCAUGGAGAGUGAUUGAAACAAGCUGCCAGGACUACAUUUGCCAAUAACAAGCAUGUAGGUGGCUGUAGUGGAUGUCCAACUUUGGGAGCUGUGAUGUCUAAAAACCCUUUAUUGUUUUGGGUAAGUUUGCUUAAUCAGUCAUGUAUCUGGAUUCAAUACUGUUUGAUAACACUGAGGGGCUGGGGCCAGUUCGUUUUGAAUAUCAUUAGGGUGAACACCUGGGCCUAGUUUGAGAUGGAAGAAAAAUGAUUUGGGGUUUCUGACUUUUUUUUUUUUUUUUCCUUUUGGGAAGGUGCAGCUUACAUAUUGGAAGGUAAAAUGAAGGCCAUGAACAAAGUCAAGAAGCCAUAAACAGAAGCAAAUGGUGAAAAUUAAUAUCUUAAUUUAAUAUUAAUAAGUUGUAUAUAAAUAAACAGUUAUUCUU